AGUCUUGAAACUGGUUUCUGUCAGUGAGGAAGAUAAAUACAAUUUUGGUUUUAUUUUUAUUUUAUCACUAGAUAGUAGGUAUGUAUUGUUAAUAUUGUAAUUUCUAAUUUUCGUGUUUUUCCUCAUUUUCAGCUUUUAGAAAAUUAUAACUGACACGACGAUCUUGCAUAGUUCGCCUUAUCCUCACAAAAAUAUGAAUAACGCGUUACAU